GAUGAAGAACGUAGCGAAAUGCGAUACGUAGUGUGAAUUGCAGAAUUCCGUGAAUCAUCGAAUCUUUGAACGCACCUUGCGCCUCUUGGUAUUCUGAGGGGCAUGCCUGUUUGAGUGUCAUUUACAAUUCUCGAAAAAGAAGGGGAGGGAUCCUCUUCAAUUUCGGACAUGGAGGUAGUGUUGGCUUGUUGUACCAGUCAGCUCCUCUGAAAUGCAUUAGCAAAAAGGUUGAUCCUACCAACGGCAUUGAUAAAAAAAAAACUUCAUGCCUUUGUUUGGUGGCAGUUAGCCUUGGCCUAACUUGGACGUGUCUGUCAACUUUGACCGAACGUCUCUCCCUGUCAACUUUGACCUCAAAUCAGGUAGGACUACCCGCUGAACUUAAGCAUAUCAAUAAGCGGAGGA
rnacentral:misc_RNA from 1 species